rnacentral:lncRNA from 1 species
AUGUGGGCACCCAGCACCCUACCCCAAGCCCCCCACUGCCACCACGUACCAGCUGCUGGUCUCCGGACGGGGUUGUGGCUCCUGGGGGGGGUCCUGGCCGCCCCCCAGCUCCCAGUGCACCUCUGCUUUUGCUUGCAUGGCCGGCUGGGAGCAGCUGCGGGGCCAGGGCUGCGCCGACGCCUGCCUCUGGACCUGCUCGUAGGAGGGCAGGCUCUUCUCGUAGGCACUGCUGUAGGGAGCCUGCGGGCUGGGGGUGAAGGAGGAGAGGUUUUAGGGCAGGAUCCAGCCCCACAGAGCCGGGGCUCAAUGGGGCUGCCCCCGGUGCUGUGGCCAACACCGGCCGAGAGCAUCCUCGGGGCAGGAUGCCCGUGGGGAUCCGGCUGGAAGCGUUGCACCAGCAGCCAUAGGAAGGUCCAGCCUGGCAUCCCAUGUGGGUCCUGCCCUCCUUUCACCCCUCCCCCUGCUGGAUUUUUGGGUUUGUGCCCCAAAACCUGUGGUUUUCCCCUGUGCCAGCAUGCUUUGACCCUACCUUUGCUGACGGCAGCAUGCAGGCAGCCCUGUGCCCAGCUGGAAACCCUCACCAAAAGCAAUGCCAGGACGUACCAGAGCUUCCCCGGGCUGUCCUUCUCUGUCGGCACCGUGGGUUUGUCAGCCAGGAACCACUCGGCCUCGGGGUGUACGGGGACGAACGUUACCUGGAGGGGAAAAAGGCAGAGCCCAGGGGCUGCACGGGGCGCAGGGGCUCUGCAGGGAUGGGGCCAGCGGCACCCCGGUGCCGGGGAUCCCCGCGGGGGUCCUGGGAGCCCCCCAGCCCCUGAUGUAGAACAGCUCUGUGCCUCCCAGAGCAGCAAAAACGCUUGGAAAAAAGCCUUUUGUGCCAGCUCCAUGUCCCCGGGGAGGGACGCGUGGCUGCCCCGCUGUGCUGGCUGUGCCCUCUGCCAAGGACACUCCGCAGGUCGGGGGGGGGGGGACACCUGGCUUUUCCCAGGCUACCAAACCCCAACACCCCCCACUACAAGUGCUGGGGCUGCUGAAAAGCUCCCCCAAAGCACCCGGAGCCCCUUGAGCUUUUCACCCCCACCCCGUGACAAAUCGCAGCACCCCACAGCAUCCCCGGCCCUCGCGCCCUACCCGCGGGUAGCACUGGCACAUGCUCCAGGUGAUGCCCACGGCGACGAGCAGCACGCCCACGGCGCAGAAGGUGAUGUAGAUCUGGGGCUUCUCCACGCUCAUGAUGAACAUGCCCGUCAUCACCAGGAAGAAGCCCAGCAUGAUGAACCCGUAGCGAAAAGUCUUCUCCUCGGCCAUGGGUGGUGGCGGCGGGGUGGGGGGCCGGGGAGCCCUGGUUCCCCCUGGCCGCGCUGA